GUCUUCGUGGCCUAGUUGGUAGGGCGUAGGUCUCAUAAUCCUAAGAUCGCGAGUUCGAGCCUCGCCGAGGACA